rnacentral:rRNA from 1 species
ACUCCUACGGAAGGCAGCAGUGGGGAAUCUUGCGCAAUGGGCGAAAGCCUGACGCAGCGACGCCGCGUGGGUGACGAAGGCCUUCGGGUUGUAAAGCCCUGUGGGGAGGAACGAACCGUCCGGGGGCCGAAUACCCUCCGGGCCUGACGGUACCUCUUUAGCAAGCAUCGGCUAACUCUGUGCCAGCAGCCGCGGUAAUG